rnacentral:rRNA from 1 species
UACAGAGGGUGCGAGCGUUGUUCGGAAUUACUGGGCGUAAAGCGCACGUAGGCGGCUUUCUAAGUCGGGGGUGAAAUCCUGGAGCUCAACUCCAGAACUGCCUUCGAUACUGGAGAGCUUGAGUCCGGGAGAGGUGAGUGGAACUGCGAGUGUAGAGGUGAAAUUCGUAGAUAUUCGCAAGAACACCAGUGGCGAAGGCGGCUCACUGGCCCGGUACUGACGCUGAGGUGCGAAAGCGUGGGGAGCAAACAGG